rnacentral:rRNA from 1 species
ACUCCUACGGGAGGCAGCAGUGGGAAGUAUUGGACAAUGGGCGAAAGCCUGAUCCAGCAAUGCCGCGUGAGUGAUGAAGGCCCUAGGGUUGUAAAGCUCUUUUACCCGGGAAGAUAAUGACUGUACCGGGAGAAUAAGCCCGGCUAACUCCGUGCCAGCAGCCGCGGUAAUACGGAGGGGCGUAGCGUUGUUCGGAAUUACUGGGCGUAAGCGCACGUAGGCGGCUUUGUAAGUCAGAGGUGAAAGCCUGGAGCUCAACUCCAGAACUGCCUUUGAGACUGCAUCGCUUGAAUCCAGGAGAGGUCAGUGGAAUUCCGAGUGUAGAGGUGAAAUUCGUAGAUAUAUGGAAGAACACCAGUGGCGAAGGCGGCUACCUGGUCUGCAGCUGACGCUGAGACUCGAAAGCAUGGGUAGCGAACAGGAUUAGAUACCCUGGUAGGAUAGCG